AAAUCUUUCGGGAAUGGAAAUGAAAUGAAAGUGGCGAACGGGUGAGUAACACGUGAGCAACCUACCUUACACAGGGGGAUAGCCGUUGGAAACGACGAUUAAUACCGCAUGAGACCACAGAAUCGCAUGAUAUAGGGGUCAAAGAUUUAUCGGUGUAAGAAGGGCUCGCGUCUGAUUAGCUAGUUGGAAGGGUAAAGGCCUACCAAGGCGACGAUCAGUAGCCGGUCUGAGAGGAUGAACGGCCACAUUGGAACUGAGACACGGUCCAAACUCCUACGGGAGGCAGCAGUGGGGAAUAUUGCACAAUGGGGGGAACCCUGAUGCAGCGACGCCGCGUGAGCGAAGAAGGUUUUCGAAUCGUAAAGCUCUGUCCUAUGAGAAGAUAAUGACGGUAUCAUAGGAGGAAGCCCCGGCUAAAUACGUGCCAGCAGCCGCGGUAAUACGUAUGGGGCGAGCGUUGUCCGGAAUUAUUGGGCGUAAAGGGUACGUAGGCGGUUUUUUAAGUCAGGUGUGAAAGCGUGAGGCUUAACCUCAUUAAGCACUUGAAACUGGAAGACUUGAGUGAAGGAGAGGAAAGUGGAAUUCCUAGUGUAGCGGUGAAAUGCGUAGAUAUUAGGAGGAUACCGGUGGCGAAGGCGACUUUCUGGACUUUUACUGACGCUCAGGUA
rnacentral:rRNA from 1 species